rnacentral:rRNA from 1 species
GAUGAACGCUAGCGGCAGGCCUAAUACAUGCAAGUCGAGGGAGAAUGUUGGAUUCGUCUGACAUGAAACCGGCGCACGGGUGCGUAACACGUAUGCAACCUACCUUUAACUGGGGUAUAGCUCAGAGAAAUCUGAAUUAAUCCCCCAUAAGACUACGACAUGGCAUCAUGAUGUAGUUAAAGCUCCGGCGGUUAAGGAUGGGCAUGCGGUACAUUAGCUAGUUGGUGAGGUAAUGGCUCACCAAGGCUACGAUGUAUAGGGGGUCUGAGAGGAUGAUCCCCCAAACUGGUACUGAGACACGGACCAGACUCCUACGGGAGGCAGCAGUAGGGAAGAUUGGUCAAUGGACGCAAGUCUGAACCAGCCAUGCCGCGUGAAGGAUGAAGGCCCUAUGGGUCGUAAACUUCUUUUAUUAGGGAAGAAAAAACGGGAUGCGUCCUGUACUGACGGUACUUAAUGAAUAAGGAUCGGCUAACUUCGUGCCAGCAGCCGCAGUAA